AUCAGCAUGUGUCUGGCUAAGCUAAUGAAUAUCAAAUUACACAGAAACCUGUAUAAAUCAUCAUUAUCCUGAAUUUUAAUUGAACUUGCAAUUAAACAUGACAAAUUUUAUAUACACUAAACCUUUAAUUUAUACUUUCAAAUAUGGAAUAAUUUAUCAUUUUUAGUAUUUCAUAGUUAAUUUCCCAAUAUGUACACUUCUAAUUAACAAGGAGAGGCUUAAAAAAGAGAUAGGAAAAAUGUAUUUAACAGCUCUACCAGUUACAAAAUUCGAGUUCUAUAGAUUGAACUUUAAGAAGAUAGCAACUUUGCAGUGAAAUUCAGCAAGGAACAAACUACACGUGUUCACUGUAGAGUAGACCAACAUUUAUAGCAUGAAAACACAUGGGGUGGGACACAGGACUCCAAUGCUACUUUAAUAUAUAGUGGCACCUCGGGCUAAGUACUGAAUUCGUUCAUUGAGGUCCGUUCUUAACCUGAAACUGUUCUUAACCUGAAGCACCACUUUAGCUAAUGGGGCCUCCUGCUGCCGCCGCACUGCCAGAGCACGAUUUCUGUUCUCAUCCUGAAGCAAAGUUCUUAACCUGAGGUACUAUUUCUGGGUUAGCGGAGUCUGUAACCUGAAGCGUAUGUAACCUGAAGCGUAUGUAACCCGAGGUACCACCGUACCUAAUAUAUUUAGGUAAGACACUCGUCUACACAAAAAAUCAUUAUUGGAAGGAAGGGAAAGGAAUCUAACAUUAUACUUUGUGCUGUCAUAAGAUAUUUGAUCCAGUGGAGGCUUCUGUCAGUGGUAUGGGGAGGGGAUAAUUUUUGCUGAUUUCCCCCUGUGCAAACCCCCAAAAUCUUCUUUAAUGACUUGGUAGACUCUUCAGAGGAGCUGCAGGUGAGAGAGAGAAUAGAUGGCACUGGAAAUUAUCCAUCUGUUCUGCUGAUAGAAGCCUCUGGUGGACUGUCAAAGGGCCUUCCAGCAGCACAAGGAACACUACUGGACACACAUGACCCAAAAUAACAGUUAAAAGCAAAGCCACAGUUUAUUUUGAUGGAAAUACAGUGGCAACCCUAUCCCCUGGGCUGGUGCCUCAUUGGGAUUGGUGGGGUGAAAACCAGGGAGGCCAACAGUAGAUGAAGCCAGUGCUAAUGACAGGCAGAGCCAACUAAUUAUAAUUUUGUCCCCAUUCUCCUCCCUGCUGAGUUCUACAAGAGCAAAACUAAGGCUAAGGAAGGUAAAGCUGACAGGCAGGGUCACCCCCUGGCCUGGUUGUCAUUACGUAGGCAGGCAGGUGCAGGCUGGCUGAGAGCAGACGGAAGCUGGUGGGACUGUGGCCCAUUUGCCAAAAUAGACAUGCCUGCUGCAUUUUCAUUCUCAGGUAAGCAUGCAUAGGUAAAGGUAAAGGGACCCCUGACCAUUAGGUCCAGUCGUGACCGACUCUGGGGUUGUGGCGCUCAUCUCGCUUUAUUGGCUGAGGGAGCCGGUGUACAGCUUCCGGGUCAUGUGGCCAGCAUGACUAAGGCGCUUCUGGCAAACCAGAGCAGUGCAUGGAAACGCCGUUUACCUUCCCGCUGGAGCGGUACCUAAUUAUCUACUUGCACUUUGACGUGCUUUCAAACUGCUAGGUUGGCAGGAGCAGGGACCGAGUAACGGGAGCUCACCCCGUCACGGGGAUUCAAACCGCCGCAUAGGACUAACUAAAAUGUAGAGUUCUCAUAGAAUCACAGAGCAUAGGGCGUAAACCAGUUUUCACAAAUGGUCACCACAGCACCUCUCUUUUCAAAUUGCUGCACUCAUGCAACUCAUAGAUACUCCCGUUUCUACACAAACAAAAGAGACAAAAUGUACAUUUAAAGCACAGAAAAUGGAUGGUGCAAGCAAUGUUUCCCAUUACCACUCCCAUAGGUUGAAACAAAAUUCUACCAAUUCUCAUUUAUUUCUCACAAGUCUCUAAACCUGUAUGUAUUCAAAUGCAUCUGGCCCUGAGCACUGGCUGUUCAGGCCUGAGAAGCAGCAGGACUAAUAUUUUCACACAUUAUCAGAUAAAGCAGAGUGAAAGAGGCUUCUCCAGAAUUCACAACUGAAAGCUACCAGUGAGUUUACAACUUGUGAAAUUGUGGUGGUUGGUAUUUCCUCAUUACUGUGCUCUUGCAGCAAAAUCAGGAAUGCAGGGCUUUAUUUAUUUAUUUAUUUGCCAUACACUGUCUCACUGCUUGCUAGUUAAACCUUGUCUCAAGUUAUCAACACUCUCUGGAGAGAUAAGCUUCUUCUCACUUACAAGAUGUCACUAAUAAUCGAACUUCCAAGACUCCAUCUCGAAAAGAGACUACUGGAGCCACACAGGUCACAGGAAUUAACUGCCACCAGUCCUUGCGAAAAACUAAGCUCAUCAAUCUAUAGCUCCUCAUUGUAAUUAGAAUAACGGCUUUGAAAAUUUGGGCCGAUGUUGACUUGGUUUUAUCGCUACAAAGACCUCAGUGUGGGGUUUUUCUAAGAAAAGAAAAGGGAAGAAAAAAACUUGGUGUGAAAGUAAAUGAUAAGUGAUGGUGGCGUUGUCGUGGCGACAGGGACAAACAAUUCCCUAGCUGCGACAUUUUCAAUGUCCUGCAGAAGAGAAACUGUCCUCUUUAGUGUGGCGCGGUAUGAAGCUUAUUUAUGGCCACAAGGCUCACAAGGAUUGAUGACUGUCGUAACACACUGUCAAAUCCCUUACUGACGCAUUUACUUUUUUACUUUUUUUUAGCCCCUGGUGUGGCAGAAAUAAAAUGGAUCAAGAAGUGCUGAAGUCUCUCUUACUGAAUGCAAUCUUAGUAUCUAGAGUUACAUUAAUUAUACGUCUUGUGCUUCAGUAAUCAGGUGGUUUUUUUUUAAUUUUCCUUUUCUAUAUCAUUUUCGCAGCAUGUUGAUCUAUGAACUGGCCACUCUGUUCCUGCAUCUGGCAAGGAAGAUGUUGCAUACAAAAACUCACAGAGUCAUAAAAUGUUUUGUCGUAUCCACAAGAGGAAUAGACUUCUCACAGAUUCAGAAUUCUAGGAAUCCCAACCAUUUUAAGGAACAAAACUAAUCAAAACCAUUAGUCCUAUAGCAGUCUGCUCAGUAUCAACAAAUGGCGCUCUUCCAGGUGAUGAAAGGCCUUCUACAAUUAGACAAUGGCAGGGAAAUGAUAGAAUCAUCAGUGGCUGACUGUGACUGUUUUGAAGACAAGUGAAGAUAAAAUCACUUGUAUGCAUUCUAACUUGGAUUCCACUUUUGAAACAAGUUCGGAGAUAGAGGAUACAGUCACUCUGUCUAGUCAAGACACUUUUGGACUGUUGGCCUUGAGGACAUAAGGCAGACUCAUAAUGCUUCAUAAUAUAUUGUGUGCAUAACACGUACAAUGGACAUUCAGUGAUGAGAGAUUCUGGACAAAUCAAAGGAAGUACUUCAUACAGCACAAACUAUGGAAUUUGCUAUCACAAUUGGUAGUGAUGGUCACUCACUUUGAUGAAUUUAGACGAAUUCAUGGAGGAUAGGCCUAUCAGUGGCUACUGAUGGUUUCCCCUCUGGAUGGUUCUACCUCUGAAUACCAGUUGGUGGAGAACAGUAACAGGGAGGGCUGUUGUGCUCAUGCUUUGCUUGUGGGCUUCCCACAGCCAUCUGGUUGGCCACUGUGAGAAAAGAAUUCUGGGCUGAGCAUAGGGCUCUUUCUACAUUCAUGUGCAUAGCUGACUCUUGUCCAUAUGGGCUUCUUAAAAUGGCAAAUUUUGGCAUGUCAUAGUCUUUGUUUCUGAGAAGUAGUCAAUUCUGUCCUUAGGGAGGAAGGGGUCCCAAAGUUCUGAAAGAGGCUGUGGUGAAGCCCUUGUUAAAUAAAUCCACCAUUGACCCUGGCAAUAUUAAGACCUAUCAACCUGUAUUCAAUCUGGUGUGCCCGCGUAUCAGCUCCAGAGUUUUCUGAAUGAGACUAUUAUUUGAAUCCACUCCAGUCUGGUUUUAGACCUAGUUUUAGAAUGUAAACUGCCCUUUUGGACCUUAAGGAGCCCUCAGCCUGUACUCAUUAAAUGGGCUUCCUGGUAAAUUGUUACAUAAAGCUGGAAAGACGGCACCAAAAAUGAUUCAAGAAAUGUUAAGACAGGGUGCAAAAAUUAUCCAAGAUACGGCAAGAUCAUUUACAAACCAGUAUUAGUGUUUGGAAGGAACUCCAUUUACUCCAAGAGAUGUGAACUGGCAAAAAUAGCUGUGUUCAUUUGACAAAGUCCAGCAGCAUUUGCAACUUUAGAUGCUUGCUAAACUACUUAACAAAGACUGCACUGUAUAUUUAUCAUUAGCUAAAAGUGAUGAAAUAAUGUAACAUUGGUAAAGGUAAAAAUAGAAAUAAAAUUGCAAGUGAUGGGGCUGGCAUGAUAUAGGUUAGGAUAGCAGAAAGUUGUUGCAACUUCCUGCAGUCUGUGUGUGCAUGCAAAUUUUCUGGAGCGUUAGGAAAGCUGGCACCAUCUCCCCAUAGCUAGCUUCUCCCUCACUCCACAUCUCUUUCCUCUAAUGGAAAAUUCUAGGGCUUUUCUCGCACUGGAUGGGGGAGGCAUUCAUGCAAUCAUGAGCUCUGUACAGUGACCUGGAAUCUCUAUGGCACUGGCUGCCCAAUCCCCAGUCAGAACCCAGGCACAACUGUUGGGUAUGUGUUGGCCUUUCACAUUGAUUUUAUUUCCUUCUGAUGGUUUGCAUCCCACAGCCUUAAUAAUAUGUGAAAGUAGUUUUUUAUGUGUGCUAAUAUGAUUAAAAUAUACACUCUGUACCCUAACACGAGCCCUACAUGAAAACUCUCAGUAACUAAACAGAUUGUCAAAUAUGAAAAAAGAACACUAGCAGUCAGUUUUAAUUUAUUCACGGCUAUCAGCUUUUCUUGUCCUAUUAGUAACCAUAAUAGUAACACAGUGUUGAGCAAAAUACCAGAAGCUUUCAUUAGAAUCAUUAACAUAAUUUGAUAACUGAUGGUACUUGAUUUCUGACUUCUGAACUUUGACUGGAAGCUCAGCGUAAGAUGAAAUCUCACUGAUUGGGUUGGCUCUUUCCUUUAAAAAAAUAUAUGAACACUUCACAUCACAUUGCUUUGUUAACUGUAAUUAACGUUCGCGUUUGUCACAAGUUGUAUUAGAUGGAGAAAUGGUAGUGAUGAUAAAAGAUAUGACAAAGAUGCACACAUGUCAUCCUCCCCAAAUGCUUCAGUGUAAUUUAAGUUUGGGGGGGGGGGACUACCAAUAUAAAUGAAGCCUGUUUCGUUCUCACCCACCCCUCACAAGAACUGACUGAAUAAAGAAUCAGCGUUCAGAUAAGUUAAUGUGACAUUUUGCUAGUUUAAUGCCCACAUCAUCAAAAUGAAUGCCUGAAAAUUUACAGCCCAAGUCAAAAACCCAAGCUACUUAAAAUCAUAAAUAUCUAUAUGCAACAUCUUAGAAUUACUGUUUCAGCUUCUCUUCCUCAUUUUUAGGGAUUCUGAAAAUUUAUUGUAAAAGGGCUGCAUUUUUUGUACAGACAGGCUUCGUUUACGCAGGGGUUACAUUCUGAGGCACCACAAACGUCAGUGAAAUUGCGUAUAAUUGAAACCCAUUGAAAAAGCCUGUAAACACCCCAUCCUGCCCCCCCUUCUGCCCUCUUAGUGACGUUUCAGUGACAUCUUUAUGAUAUUUCCAUGUCACAUCUGGGUUCGGCAUAAUGUGCCUAUACAUGGCCGCACACAUAUUGAACAUGUGUAAACUGGGGCUGCUUGUAUUCAUGUGGUGCAAAUGUUUGGUUGUUUUCACUCUAUGUAUAAACCACUUGGGC